AAAUUGUAAUCUAUAUUUACUUGUAUUUUCAAUACUCAAUUUCCAGCAGCUUCAGUUGAAGGGAAUUUAUACACGUUAUUGAGCUUGGAGAAUAAGUUACAAGAGUAUUCUAGAAUACACAGCUGUAGCAAUUUCCUUGAAUCAUGGGCUGUGGCUGAAAUCCAUUAAUAACAGAAUUUUUGCAGCACAAUCUGGUAUUGUUGGUGUAACAGAAAUGGCUGAUAAGCUGAUAAAUCAAUAGGCAAGAUAAGUUGAUUAACUGAUUGAGUGAUGAGCUGUAGGUUGGCUUAUCUUUACAUGUACAAUAUCCAUUUAUUGUGGAUGCAUGGUUUGUAAUUUGUACCAGUUAUGCCUCAGCCGUGGGAGUUAAA
rnacentral:lncRNA from 1 species